rnacentral:lncRNA from 1 species
CACAUAAUAAAGGCAGGAGGCAGGAAGGAACAGAGUGUCAGGGUGUCCUUAACCUAGGAAGGGCCUUAGCCUAACUAACUCCAUUUUAAAAUAAAACUGCAGUCCCCACCAGGCACGCCUACAGAGCCCUUCAAUAUGGCCAUCAGGCAUAGCCUGAUAAAAUAAGUCGCUUUGCGCAACCCUGAUAAAACUUAGAGUGAAGUCUCAGGCAUUUGCCUUCACCCUGAUAAAGGCAAAGAAGCCAGGGCAGAAACCACCAGACCAGAUGUCCUGACCUCAGAACGAAGUCACUGAGAAACCCG